rnacentral:rRNA from 1 species
CCUACGGGGGGCAGCAGUAGGGAAUCUUCCGCAAUGGACGAAAGUCUGACGGAGCAACGCCGCGUGAGUGAUGAAGGUUUUCGGAUCGUAAAACUCUGUUGUUAGGGAAGAACAAGUACCGUUCGAAUAGGGCGGCACCUUGACGGUACCUAACCAGAAAGCCACGGCUAACUACGUGCCAGCAGCCGCGGUAAUACGUAGGUGGCAAGCGUUGUCCGGAAUUAUUGGGCGUAAAGCGCGCGCAGGCGGUUUCUUAAGUCUGAUGUGAAAGCCCCCGGCUCAACCGGGGAGGGUCAUUGGAAACUGGGGAACUUGAGUGCAGAAGAGGAGAGUGGAAUUCCACGUGUAGCGGUGAAAUGCGUAGAGAUGUGGAGGAACACAAGUGGCGAAGGCGACUCGCUGGUCUGUAACUGGCGCUGAGGCGCGAAAGCGUGGGGAGCGAACAGGAUUAGAUACCCCCGUAGUC